rnacentral:rRNA from 1 species
CUACGUGCCAGCAGCCGCGGUAAUACGGGGGGUGCGAGCGUUAAUCGGAAUAACUGGGCGUAAAGGGCACGCAGGCGGCUAUUUAAGUGAGGUGUGAAAUCCCCGGGCUUAACCUGGGAAUUGCAUUUCAGACUGGGUAGCUAGAGUACUUUAGGGAGGGGUAGAAUUCCACGUGUAGCGGUGAAAUGCGUAGAGAUGUGGAGGAAUACCGAAGGCGAAGGCAGCCCCUUGGGAAUGUACUGACGCUCAUGUGCGAAAGCGUGGGGAGCAAACAGGAUUAGAUACCCUGGUAGUCCACGCUGUAAACGCUGUCGAUUUGGGGAUUGGGCUUUAAGCUUGGUGCCCGUAGCUAACGUGAUAAAUCGACCGCCUGGGGAGUACGGCCGCAAGGUUAAAACUCAAAUGAAUUGACGGGGGCCCGCACAAGCGGUGGAGCAUGUGGUUUAAUUCGAUGCAACGCGAAGAACCUUACCUACUCUUGACAUCCAUGGAAUCCUGUAGAGAUACGGGAGUGC